CAGCCGCCGCGGGAAUACGUAGGGUGCAAGCGUUAACCAGAAUUACUGGGCGUAAAGCGUGCGCAGGCGGUUUGUUAAGACGGAUGUGAAAUCCCCGGGCUCAACCUGGGAACUGCAUUCGUGACUGGCAAGCUAGAGUAUGGCAGAGGGGGGUGGAAUUCCACGUGUAGCAGUGAAAUGCGUAGAGAUGUGGAGGAACACCGACGGCGAAGGCAGCCCCCUGGGCCAAUACUGACGCUCAUGCACGAAAGCGUGGGGAGCAAACAGGAUUAGAUACCCCCGUAGUCCCUGUCUCUUAUAC
rnacentral:rRNA from 1 species